UACGAAGGGUGCAAGCGUUGUUCGGAUUUAUUGGGCGUAAAGCGCGCGCAGGCGGAUUCGCAAGUCAGGUGUGAAAUCCCGGGGCUUAACCUCGGAAGUGCGCCUGAAACUACAAAUCUAGAAUACCGGAGAGGGAAGGGGAAUUUCUCAUGUAGGGGUAAAAUCCGUAGAUAUGAGAAGGAACACCAGAGGCGAAGGCGCCUUCCUGGACGGUCAUUGACGCUGAGGCGCGAAAGCGUGGGGAGCAAACAGG
rnacentral:rRNA from 1 species